GAGGUUUUAGUUUAAUUUAAAAAUAUAGGGUUGUCAGCUCUAAGAUGUUACUAAGCUAUAGCAUACUUUU
rnacentral:tRNA from 1 species